UACGGGGGGAGCAAGCGUUGUUCGGAUUUACUGGGCGUAAAGGGCGUGUAGGCGGCCACCGCAAGUCGACUGUGAAAUCUCCGGGCUUAACUCGGAAAGGUCAGCCGAUACUGCGGGGCUAGAGUGCAGAAGGGGCAACUGGAAUUCUCGGUGUAGCGGUGAAAUGCGUAGAUAUCGAGAGGAACACCUGCGGCGAAGGCGGGUUGCUGGGCUGACACUGACGCUGAAACGCGAAAGCUAGGGGAGCGAACGGG
rnacentral:rRNA from 1 species